UACGGAGGGGGCGAGCGUUAUUCGGAAUUAUUGGGCGUAAAGGGCGCGUAGGCGGCCCGGUAAGUCAAAGGUGAAAUCCCUCGGCUCAACUGAGGAACUGCCUUUGAAACUGUCGGGCUUGAGGCCGGGAGGGGGGUAGCGGAAUUCCCAGUGUAGCGGUGAAAUGGCGUAGAUAUUGGGAGGAACACCAGUGGCGAAGGCGGCUACCUGGACCGGUUCUGACGCUGAUGCGCGAAAGCGUGGGUAGCAAACAGG
rnacentral:rRNA from 1 species